CGAGGCGGGGGUCCGCCCCCGGCGAGAGGAGGGGGGAGUCGGGGGUCGCAUCGCCUCCCUGAGCCCAUCUCCAGUCCUCUGCCCUCGGGGCCCCGCAGACCCCUUCCACUCUGCAGUCGUGGGACAAUAAUAAUAAUAAUAACAACAACAUGUAUUGAGUGUUUAAUGUGUUCCAGGCCCUGUGUCGAGGUUUUAUAUAUGUUAUCUUUCUCAGCCUUUCCAGCAACCCUAGGAGUGAAAGUGCCUCCAUUUCAGGAUUCUGGAGAAUGAAGCAGAGAACAGAUCAGAAAGCAAAGGCACUUAGUAAAUGGGAGCAGUACAUUUACCAUACUUGCUGCUGCUAUCAUUAUAAUCAUCCUGGGAAUGUAGCUUCUUUUAUGUAUGUUCCAAUUUUUCUACAAAGAACACGUAUUGGUUGCAUAAUUAAAAACAAAAAAAUUCUUAUCACCCCAGCAAUAAAACCAGCUGUUUCACUUGA